rnacentral:rRNA from 1 species
UACGUAGGGUUCGAGCGUUAAUCGGAAUUACUGGGCGUAAAGGGCGCGUAGGCGGCCUGCUAAGUCGAACGUGAAAUCCCUGGGCUCGACCCAGGAACUGCGUCCGAUACUGGUUGGCUUGAAUCCGGGAGAGGGAUGUGGAAUUCCAGGUGUAGCGGUGAAAUGCGUAGAUAUCUGGAGGAACACCGGUGGCGAAGGCGACAUCCUGGACCGGUAUUGACGCUGAGGCGCGAAAGCCAGGGGAGCAAACGGG